GUCGAGGGGCAUCACAAGUGUAGCAAUACACUCUGAGUGGCGACCGGCGCACGGCCGAUUAUCGCGUAUGCCACCUACCUUCCACAGGGGGAUAGCCUUCCUUAAGGGAGAUUAAUACCGCAUGAAACAGGGGCCCCGCAUGGGGAUAUUUGUUAAAGAUUUAUCGGUGGAAGAUGGGCAUGCGUUCCAUUAGCUAGUUGGGGGGGUAACGGCCCACCAAGGCAACGAUGGAUAGGGGAACUGACAGGUUUAUCCCCCACACUGGGACUGAGACACGGCCCAGACUCCUACGGGAGGCAGCAGUGAGGAAUAUUGGUCAAUGGGCGGGAGCCUGAACCAGCCAAGUCGCGUGGAGGACGACGGUUCUAUGGAUUGUAAACUCCUUUUGCACUGGGGUAAAACGCGGGACGUGUCCCGCCUUGCCAAAGUACAGUGCGAAUAAGCAUCCGCUAACUCCGUGCCAGCAGCCGCGGUAAUACGGAGGAUGCGAGCGUUAUCCUGAUUUAUUGGGGUUCAAGGGUGCGUAUGCGGCCCCUUGAGUCAGCGGUAAAAUUUCUGCGCUCAACGCACUCUUGCCGUUGAAACUGGAGGGCUUGAGUCUAGAUGAAGUGGGCGGAAUUUGUAGUGUAACGGUGAAAUGCUUACAUAUUACAAGGAACUCCGAUUGCGCUGGCAGCUCACUAAUCUAUCACUGACGCUGAAACACGAGAGCGUGGGUAUUAAAAAAGAUUAUAUACCCCCGGUACUCCCCGCAAUAAUACGAUGAUCUCUCGCUUUUCUGCGAUAUAAAAAAAGCGGGCCAAGGGAAAAAAGUUAACUGAUUCCACCUGGGGAGGCCGCCCGGAAACCGUGAAACU
rnacentral:rRNA from 1 species